rnacentral:lncRNA from 1 species
GAUUUUUUCUGUGCAAUGGCAACAAUAAAUUUAUAAAAAAAUAUAUUGGAGUGACAGUUCGUCGUUUUUGACAAGUGACUUUUUUGUGUGUGGAGCUCUUGACAAAAAUGUGUGUUGGUGAGCCGAAUCCCCUUGGACCGAUCUACUUACAACGUAAAUAAUGGUUUGUUCACACGGAGCGUUUUAUGAUCAAUUUGGGAAUGUUUUGUGGUUUGUAAAAAAUGUGGCUUUACUGAGCUUACGCCCUUGCGCAUUAUAAUGUUUGUUUACUAUUUUUUUUUUUUCAGUUUUACAGUGUAUUUAUUUUACUGUAAUACCAAUAACCGCUUUCUUUUUUUCUAUUUAACAUAAUAAUUUGUAUAAUAAAAAAGGAUAUGUAAUAAAAUUAUAUAAAAGUAAACGUUUAAUUAAAAAAAUUAAUAAAAAAAAUCAUUAAAACAACCUCGUCGUGUGAAAACGCUAUUAGCCGGGCGGCCAUCUUGUCACAUUUUUACGUCGCCCGAGGCCCAGUGACCGCUUGAGAAACACUUAACUUUGUUUAUUUUUUCAUGACAGAAAACUUAAUAUUUUUAUUAAGAUAUUGGUAUCAUUUUAAAGAGUAUAUCCUGUACUAAUAUAAUAAAAAAACAUUGUUACCAGUAACCAUUAUAUUUUUCUUAUAAAACUCUGAAUAAAAAAAAUAUACGAUUUUUUUUUUGAUAUCCUCAACUUUAUACUUUAUUAUCAUCCUAUAAUAUUAAUUAAAGUAAUUUACUUUUAAUUAAAUAAAAUUGUCCGUUCUUUUAGCUUUCCGUGAGUAUUUUUUAUUCGAAUCUAGCUAUUGUAGUUUUUCAGUAGUCAUCGUUUUUGGUGAAAGAGUCGCGCUUGGUCGCAAAAAAGCAAUUGACAUUUCAUGCGCGGACAGGUGAGCCGAGAAUCACCGCGCGGCUUGGACGCUUGAGUGGCUA